rnacentral:rRNA from 1 species
AUUGAACGCUGGCGGAAUGCUUUACACAUGCAAGUCGAACGGCAGCACGGGGGCAACCCUGGUGGCGAGUGGCGAACGGGUGAGUAAUACGUCGGAACGUGCCCAGUCGUGGGGGAUAACGUAGCGAAAGCUACGCUAAUACCGCGUACGACCUACGGGUGAAAGCGGGGGACCGUAAGGCCUCGCGCUAUUGGAGCGGCCGAUGUCUGAUUAGCUAGUUGGCGGGGUAAAAGCUCACCAAGGCGACGAUCAGUAGCUGGUCUGAGAGGACGAUCAGCCACACUGGGACUGAGACACGGCCCAGACUCCUACGGGAGGCAGCAGUGGGGAAUUUUGGACAAUGGGGGCAACCCUGAUCCAGCAAUGCCGCGUGUGCGAAGAAGGCCUUCGGGUUGUAAAGCACUUUUGUCAGGGAAGAAAUCUUUCAGGCUAAUACCCUUGGAAGGAUGACGGUACCAGAAGAAUAAGCACCGGCUAACUACGUGCCAGCCGCCGCGGUAA